rnacentral:pre_miRNA from 1 species
AGUGGGAUAACUGGGUCAAAUGGUUUCACUCAUGUUUUCUAAGGAAUCUCCAUACUGCUUUCCAGAGUGGUUGCCCCAGUUUGCAGUCCCACCAGCAAU